ensembl:snoRNA
ACCCUCCAGUUCCCUUUCCCAUCGGAUCAUAAUACUGGUCUGGGUGGUCGUAAAAGGAGGAAAAGAAACACUGAAGCUGGCCCUCAGUGCUCUUGGAGCCCUUGGGCUAGUUUCAAACAGGG